GCGUUGUCCGGAUUUAUUGGGCGUAAAGCGAGUGCAGGCGGCUCGAUAAGUCUGAUGUGAAAGCCUUCGGCUCAACCGGAGAAUUGCAUCAGAAACUGUCGAGCUUGAGUGCAGAAGAGGAGAGUGGAACUCCAUGUGUAGCGGUGAAAUGCGUAGAUAUAUGGAAGAACACCGGUGGCGAAGGCGGCUCUCUGGUCUGUUACUGACGCUGAGGCUCGAAAGCAUG
rnacentral:rRNA from 1 species